CAUGUGCGAACACAUAUAUAACUAUAUAUGGGUACUAGCUGUUGAGCGUUAUAAUAAAUCUAUUAUAAAGAGGUUCUAUCUAUAUGCUUACGGCAUCGUAAAUUCGUCCCACAUUAUGAGACAGACCUCUUGAAAACACGGGUUUGUACAAGGCACUAAGACCAAGUAAACAUGGUACAUGCGAAUGAACAUACGAAAUCUUGCGCCGGCUACUUCGCCACCGCACCGUUGGGCACCACCAUAAUAUUUUUUCUUGCGCGAGAAAAUUAUAUUUUGCUAUUACUCCUAAGAUAUUAAUCUAAAUUAUGUAUAAAGCUUAAAUAAGAAAUGUGGUCAAAGUUCGG